rnacentral:rRNA from 1 species
GAUGAACGCUGGCGGCGUGCCUAAUACAUGCAAGUCGAGCGAACAGAUGAGGAGCUUGCUCCUCUGACGUUAGCGGCGGACGGGUGAGUAACACGUGGAUAACCUACCUAUAAGACUGGGAUAACUUCGGGAAACCGGAGCUAAUACCGGAUAAUAUAUUGAACCGCAUGGUUCAAUAGUGAAAGACGGUUUUGCUGUCACUUAUAGAUGGAUCCGCGCCGCAUUAGCUAGUUGGUAAGGUAACGGCUUACCAAGGCAACGAUGCGUAGCCGACCUGAGAGGGUGAUCGGCCACACUGGAACUGAGACACGGUCAAGACUCCUACGGGAGGCAGCAGUAGGGAAUGUUCCGCAAUGGGCGAAAGCCUGACGGAGCAACGCCGCGUGAGUGAUGAAGGUCUUCGGAUCGUAAAACUCUGUUAUUAGGGAAGAACAAAUGUGUAAGUAACUAUGCACGUCUUGACGGUACCUAAUCAGAAAGCCACGGCUAACUACGUG